UAGUAAUCGUAGGUCAGCAUACUACGGUGAANACGUUCCCGGGCCUUGUACACACCGCCCGUCAAACCAUGAGAGUUGGCAACACCGAAGUCGGUAGUCUAACCGCAAGGAGGACGCCGCCGAAGGUGGGGUUGAUGAUUAGGGUUAAGUCGUAACAAGGUAGC
rnacentral:rRNA from 1 species